rnacentral:rRNA from 1 species
CCUGGCGGCCGUAGCGCGGUGGUCCCACCUGACCCCAUGCCGAACUCAGAAGUGAAACGCCGUAGCGCCGAUGGUAGUGUGGGGUUUCCCCAU